GGAGAGGAAACUUUGAUGCGUUUCGAUAUAGUUCUCUCAGAAAUGAAAAUAGUUUUUGACAACUAAUCGUAGUUCUCAGAAUAAACAUAAACAUAGUUUUCUCAUAAAUGAACAUAGUUUUCACAACUAAAGAGAAACAUGAUCCAGCUACAUCAAUACGUUCAUCUAGUCCGAGUCACCUUCAUAUAGUAACUCAUCAUCAUCAUCAUCAUCAUCAUCAUCUCCGGCAACAACAACUCCCUUCCCUUUCUUAUCGAGAUUAACCUUACCAACAGGUAAAUCGGCAACAAGAGCCUUAAUCGUCUCCAUAUGUGCCUCUUCCGCUUUUUGUUGUAACUCUUCUAUUUCAAUCCUUCUCUUUCUUGCCCUAACCUGCUGCAAAUAUUCUUCCCAUGAACCCUUAGGGUGUUUCGCAUUCGGAUCAACCACAUAACCUAAGCGAUCUCUUUCCUCCCUCAACCUUUGUUUCUCCAACUCCUUCUCC
rnacentral:lncRNA from 1 species